UAACGACAAUACUAAACCAUCCGCGAGGGUGGGGCGGAAAGCCUAUAGGGUCUUAAUAAGACAGCCGGGUUGCCGAA
rfam:Desulfuromonadales bacterium GWD2_54_10 gwd2_scaffold_6013, whole genome shotgun sequence.